rnacentral:rRNA from 1 species
AUUGAACGCUGGCGGCAGGCCUAACACAUGCAAGUCGAACGAGUGGCGGACGGGUGAGUAAUGUCUGGGAAACUGCCCGAUGGAGGGGGAUAACUACUGGAAACGGUAGCGAAUACCGCAUACCAUCGGAUGUGCCCAGAUGGGAUUGGCUAGUGGGUGGGGUAAAGGCUCACCUAGGCGACGAUCCCUAGCUGGUAUGAGAGGAUGACCAGCCGCCCUGGAACUGAGACACGGUCCAGAGUCCUACGUGAGGCAGCAGUGGGGAACAUUGCACAAUGGGCGCAAGCCUGAUGCAGCCAUGCCGCGCGUAUGAAGAAGGCCUUCGGUUUGUAAAGUACUUUCAGCGGGGAGGCGUUACCCGCAGAAGAAGCACCGGCUAACUCCGUGCCAGCAGCCGCGGUAAUAC